rnacentral:rRNA from 1 species
CCCUUAGAUGUUCUGGGCCGCACGCGCGCUACAAUGGUCUUCGCAAACGGAUGCAUUCUCGAAGGAGAAUGCCAAUCUUGGAAUCUAUGCCUUGGUCGGGACAGUUGCUUGCAAUUCUUCGACUCGAACCAGGAAUUCCUUGUAAUCGUGAUUCAUCACAUCACGAUGAAUACGUCCCUGCCCUUUGUACACACCGCCCGUCGCUCCUACCGAUCGAAGAGUUAGGUGAAUUGUUUUGAUCGAUAAGAUUUGACUAUGGUCAACUCUCGUUGUGAAAUUCUGUGAAUCUGACUGUUUAGAGGAAGGAAAAGUCGUAACA